GACGAACGCUGGCGGCGUGCUUAACACAUGCAAGUCGAACGGAAAGGCCCUGCUUUUGUGGGGUGCUCGAGUGGCGAACGGGUGAGUAACACGUGAGUAACCUGCCCUUGACUUUGGGAUAACUUCAGGAAACUGGGGCUAAUACCGGAUAGGAGCUCCUGCUGCAUGGUGGGGGUUGGAAAGUUUCGGCGGCUGGGGAUGGACUCGCGGCUUAUCAGCUUGUUGGUGGGGUAGUGGCUUACCAAGGCUUUGACGGGUAGCCGGCCUGAGGGGGUGACCGGCCACAUUGGGACUGAGAUACGGCCCAGACUCCUACGGGAGGCAGCAGUGGGGAAUAUUGCACAAUGGGCGGAAGCCUGAUGCAGCAACGCCGCGUGCGGGAUGACGGCCUUCGGGUUGUAAACCGCUUUCGCCUGUGACGAAGCGUGAGUGACGGUAAUGGGUAAAGAAGCACCGGCUAACUACGU
rnacentral:rRNA from 1 species